CACCACCCCAGCAGUUGGGAACAGGAGAGAAGUGAGCCUCAACAGCUUUUUCAUGGAGACAGAGGCACGGUGGUCCACAGUCUUCAGCUGGGAUAGCAAAAGAGGAGGCAGAGAAUGCAGCGACCACACCUAGCUGGGAAGAAGACCCAGCAGUAUGGCUGUGUGCUUUCAGCCACGCCACUGCUCUGACAGCUCUGAUGUCCCCAUGUUGUAACAGAAAGCUGCCUAACACAAUGGGGAUGGCGACUUUUUCUUAAACCAGAAAUGGAUAAGCAGUGAGACUUCAGAGUACGAAGAACUGGUGGCAAUGGAAAAUGGUCCCAACUCAACAGAAAACAGCAUAGUGGUUCCCCAAGAGAGGACACAUACAACAGCAAUUCCAUGUGACCAGCAAUUCCUCUCUAUGUGCACGCCAGAAAGAACUAAAAGCAAGGACUCAAACAGGACUCCAGGCUUCCCUGGCCCAGCUGCAGGGUGAGCAGAGACGGCCGUUUCUCAUUCCUGUCGCUCCUGAGGACUUUGUUUUGACUUAAUCAAGGGCACACACACACUAUUAGGAGGAAAGAAUAAAUGGUGGAGGCUGUGCGUGAGGCGGGCAAAGGCAAGAGCUCUCCUUUCCUUUUGUCCUCGUAGCCUUCUAUGCCCCACACCUCAUCAUG